UAUGAGACGUUGAUCAGGAGUAGUAAUGAUGAGUCCCGGAGCAGAGAGUUGACGGCUGGUGAAAGUCAAUCGGAAGACCUCAUGAACUCGCCUGUUGAGUCGCAGAUCUGAAUGGAGUAGGAUCUGCCGUUUGCCGCGUUAUGGUUGAAUGAAGCUGAGUGCGCGUACACUAAUGUGGGUGGUACCGCGGGAGUAUAAACCAAACUCUCGUCCCAAAU
rnacentral:ncRNA from 2 species